rnacentral:rRNA from 1 species
UAGGGAAUCUUCGGCAAUGGGGGGAACCCUGACCGAGCAACGCCGCGUGAGUGAAGAAGGAUUUCGGUUCGUAAAACUCUGUUGUUAGAGAAGAACAGCGCAUAGAGUAACUGUUAUGCGUGUGACGGUAUCUAACCAGAAAGCCACGGCUAACUACGUGCCAGCAGCCGCGGUAAUACGUAGGUGGCAAGCGUUGUCCGGAUUUAUUGGGCGUAAAGCGAGCGCAGGCGGUCAAUUAAGUCUGAUGUGAAAGCCCCCGGCUCAACCGGGGAGGGUCAUUGGAAACUGGUUGACUUGAGUGCAGAAGAGGAGAGUGGAAUUCCAUGUGUAGCGAUGAAAUGCGUAGAUAUAUGGAGGAACACCAGUGGCGAAGGCGACUCUCUGGUCUGUAACUGACGCUGAGGUUCGAAAGCGUGGGUAGCAAACAGG